CUGUUUGAACACUUCCCUUACCAAAAGAUUUUUCACCCAAAACUACCGCUCGUUUAUGAUCCUGCAACGCUCCGGCAACAAUUUCCGAAGCAGAUGCGGAUCCGUUAUUAAUCAAAACAACUAUCGGCAAACCGUUUGUUAUAUCUUUACCUUUAGCCGAAUAACGCAACGUUUCUUCUUCAUUACGAGCUCGGGUUGAAACUACUUCACCUUUAUCCAAAAACAAACUUGAAACAGCUACGGCCUGGUCAAGCAAUCCCCCGGGAUUAUUACGC
rnacentral:ncRNA from 1 species